rnacentral:piRNA from 1 species
CCCAAGUUCCCUAGUGGGAAANAGCUAGGA